CCGGUAAACGGCGGCCGUAACUAUAACGGUCCUAAGGUAGCGAAAUUCCUUGUCGGGUAAGUUCCGACCUGCACGAAUGGCGUAAUGAUGGCCAGGCUGUCUCCACCCGAGACUCAGUGAAAUUGAACUCGCUGUGAAGAUGCAGUGUACCCGCGGCAAGACGGAAAGACCCCGUGAACCUUUACUAUAGCUUGACACUGAACAUUGAGCCUUGAUGUGUAGGAUAGGUGGGAGGCUUGGAAGUGUGGACGCCAGUCUGCAUGGAGCCGACCUUGAAAUACCACCCUUUAAUGUUUGAUGUUCUAACGUUGACCCGUAAUCCGGGUUGCGGACAGUGUCUGGUGGGUAGUUUGACUGGGGCGGUCUCCUCCUAAAGAGUAACGGAGGAGCACGAAGGUUGGCUAAUCCUGGUCGGACAUCAGGAGGUUAGUGCAAUGGCAUAAGCCAGCUUGACUGCGAGCGUGACGGCGCGAGCAGGUGCGAAAGCAGGUCAUAGUGAUCCGGUGGUUCUGAAUGGAAGGGCCAUCGCUCAACGGAUAAAAGGUACUCCGGGGAUAACAGGCUGAUACCGCCCAAGAGUUCAUAUCGACGGCGGUGUUUGGCACCUCGAUGUCGGCUCAUCACAUCCUGGGGCUGAAGUAGGUCCCAAGGGUAUGGCUGUUCGCCAUUUAAAGUGGUACGCGAGCUGGGUUUAGAACGUCGUGAGACAGUUCGGUCCCUAUCUGCCGUGGGCGCUGGAGAACUGAGGGGGGCUGCUCCUAGUACGAGAGGACCGGAGUGGACGCAUCACUGGUGUUCGGGUUGUCAUGCCAAUGGCACUGCCCGGUAGCUAAAUGCGGAAGAGAUAAGUGCUGAAAGCAUCUAAGCACGAAACUUGC
rnacentral:rRNA from 1 species